rnacentral:lncRNA from 1 species
CCCUCUUGGCUUGUCACCUUGGGCAACAACCUCUCCCCUCUCUCUCCCCUCCCUCUCCCUAUUUUCGGUACAUCCUGGAACGACACUGUAUGGACCAAUGUUGUCCUAAACCAAUCACUGGCCAUACGACCUCUGGUACCGAUUCAUCAAACCUUGUACAAAGCAAUAAGUUAUGUUCUUUCCUUCCCUUUCAUUAUCUAUCUUGUCCUAAAAGUUUCAUGAAAGCAAGCUCACUUUUGCAUCCAAGACUCCUUGAGCCUACAAAAAACAAAGCAAUCCCCUCAAUCCACCCUCACUCCCACACCACUUUAGCUCUCAUUGUGAGCCAUUGAUGCAACACAAGGUGCAGCCAGCAAGCACCAUGACUAGGUAGAUCAUGCCAAGCAUCGUAGAAGCCAUUGGAUUCCCAAGCGAAGACUUUAAUAAGCAAAUAUUUGAUUUAUUUUCAUCCCAUGAGCAAGCAUGCGAGCGACAGGAUCUUAUGGAUUUUUUGAUUAGGGACUAUUGAAUUUUAGUCAGGAUUCCAUAUUUAUAGUACAAUAACUCUAGCAUAUUUUCAUAUUCUCGAGUCCUAUUAAGAGUAUGAUUCUCUAUCAGUUUAAAUGCCCGAAUCAGGGUUAGGGAUCAUAUUCUAUAAAAUAUAAAUACGCAUCUAAUGCAUUGUAAGGGGUAGCCUUUU